AAGUCGUAACAAGGUUUCCGUAGGUGAACCUGCGGAAGGAUCAUUACCGAGUACUAUAACUCAUAACCCUUUGUGAACCUUCAUACCUGUUGCUUCGGCGGGGUCACGCCCCGGGUGCGUAAAAGCCCCGGAACCAGGCGCCCGCCGGAGGAACCAACCAAACUCUUUCUGUAGUCCCCUCGCGGACGUAUUUCUUACAGCUCUGAGCAAAAAUUCAAAAUGAAUCAAAACUUUCAACAACGGAUCUCUUGGUUCUG
rnacentral:misc_RNA from 1 species